GAUGAACGCUGGCGGCGUGCCUAAUACAUGCAAGUCGAACGGACAGACGCUGCGCUUGCUCCUCUCACGUUAGCGGCGCACGGGUGAGUAACACGUGUAUACCCUACCUAUAAUUCUGGUAUCACUUCGGGAAACCGGAGCUAAUACCGUAGAAUAUAUUGCACCGCAUUGUUCAAUAGUGAAAUUCGGUUUUUCGGGCACGUAUAGCUGGUUCCGCGCCGCAUGAGCUAGUUGUUAAGGUCACGGCUUAUAAAGGCAACGAGGCGUAGCCGACGUGCGUGGGUGAUAGGCCACACGGGAACUGAGACACGGUCAAGAGUACUAAGGGAGGCAGCAGUAGGGAACGUUACGCAAUGGGCGAAAGCAUGACGGAGCAACGCCGCGUGAGUGAUGAAGGCCUCGGGAUCGUAAAAAUCUGUUAUUAGGGAAGAACAAAUGUGUAAGGAAAUAUGCACGUCUUGACGGUACCUAAUAAGAAAGCAACGGCUAACUACGUG
rnacentral:rRNA from 1 species